rnacentral:misc_RNA from 1 species
CCCAACAUCAGACAACAGCAAACCACACGUCUACAUCGACCUGCUACAACAUCCUAUCCACCUAACCUUCAACAAAACACGACGCAGUUGGAUGCUAGACAAGGCUCAUCUACUCCUCGUCUCCAGCCACAUAGGCAACCUCCAGCACUACUUCGAGUUCAUCAUCAACCGCACUUGCAAUGGUAUCAUCUAUGUGGAGAUCACAUUGGGCCAUCUCAUCAUUAGCAUCGAGGCGAUGCCUUUGGAGGAGCUUUUCCCCUGGACGACAUUAACGACUCAAAAACAAUAUUGUGUGAGCACGCGUUGUGCGGAGAAGGGGGGAGAUAUGUCACAGACCUACAUAGCCGUGGCGGACCA